rnacentral:tRNA from 1 species
AGUCACGCUGGACGAAAGCGCGCCCGCUACUGCUCGCGUCAAUGGCAGCGCUCGUCGUGUCCGUGUUCCUCACAUGGGCGUGCCUG